CCCAAAACAAGACAGAAAGCCCCCUCUCCCCCACGUCCAUAAAAAAGAAUAAAAAGAACCGUUAGCAGCACGCAUGACCUGACCUAUAAUCCAAACUUUAAUCUAAUGUUCAAUACCCUCGUCACCAACACGAAGAAAACACCAGCGCUGCUGUGCCCUCUUGCCGGGGUGCCUCCUUUGUCGCCGCCGUCGAAUUCAUCGUCGUGUCAUCGAAUAUCCCAACACCUAUAGUCGUCGAUUCCCACAGCCAAUUGCCCCCGACACGGAACGAGCUAAAUGCCUUUUGGACCGACAGUACCACCUCCAACAAAUCUGCCGAAGAGAUGUUAGGAUACGACGUGCGCAAGGAACCAAAAGAACCCACCCGAGCGUGCAACUUCAGUUUGACUUGCCAAUGGAUAAACUCGAACAUUGCCGGCGGGGGCAAUCGGAAAUCUUUCCCCGUGGGAUUUUCAGAGGGAUUAGGUAAAUCCAACUCCAUCGCGGCCCAACCACAAGCCGCCCGAUAGAAAACGCAGCAAUCGGGCCAUUGCAAAGACAAUCGAUCCGGGUGCUCGCAGCAAAGAACCCUGCGGUCGACACGAUCUUGCACAGUGGUUUCCUACAUCAGGUCCCCAU
rnacentral:lncRNA from 1 species